rnacentral:lncRNA from 1 species
UCAUUUAGUGAAAUUCCGUAUAAUUGGAAAGAAAGAAAAGAUUUUAUUGGUUGCAUCAUCGGUCAGUCACGAAAAUUGCUUGACAUAAAUAUUUUGAUAGACGAUAAUGAGCAACAAAAAGAAAGAAGUUAAGGCUAAUACAAAAUCAUUCUCGGGGCAUGAUUAUGACAAGUAUGGUAUUAGAAUUCAAAAUUUAAGACUACUAAGGAUUUUGGUGUUUUGAAUCAGAAUGCUAGCAAGCCAUGCCAAAAUAAGAAUAAAUUAUUUUGGAGAUUUCUCGAUGGAGUAAUUUGUAUUUUGGAUUAUGAUUAAAUUAGAUUUUGACUGAUAUUAAGUGGAGUACUAGCCAUGGAAUGUUAAAGUACAUUGUGAUUAUUUGUGUAUCAGUAUAUAGGUGAUUUUGAAAGUUUAACUUGAUAUUGAGUA